rnacentral:rRNA from 1 species
CCUACGGGAGGCAGCAGUGGGGAAUAUUGGACAAUGGGGGGAACCCUGAUCCAGCCAUGCCGCGUGUGUGAAGAAGGCCCUCGGGUUGUAAAGCACUUUCAGUGAGGAAGAACGCCUGGUGGUUAAUACCCAUCAGGAAAGACAUCACUCACAGAAGAAGCACCGGCUAACUCCGUGCCAGCAGCCGCGGUAAUACGGAGGGUGCGAGCGUUAAUCGGAAUUACUGGGCGUAAAGCGCGCGUAGGUGGCUUGAUAAGCCGGUUGUGAAAGCCCCGGGCUCAACCUGGGAACGGCAUCCGGGACUGUCAAGCUAGAGUGCAGGAGAGGAAGGUAGAAUUCCCGGUGUAGCGGUGAAAUGCGUAGAGAUCGGGAGGAAUACCAGUGGCGAAGGCGGCCUUCUGGACUGACACUGACACUGAGGUGCGAAAGCGUGGGUAGCAAACAGGAUUAGAUACCCCAGUAGUC